ACAUUGGAUAUAUGCUCAUAAACUUCUUGCCAAAUAAGCAUAAUCCUAUCCCGGUUAUUCAAUGUAAUUGCAAUCAACAACUCCAAGCAGAACACUGAGGCGCCUUCAUCAUCCACAGGGCCAGUUCCCUUACUAAGACGGCUGGCAGCCAGGAUAAGUGACUUCACAAGCUGCAAUAAAGACUCAGCUUGGAGGAAUUUACUCUCUGAAAAUAUGCUAUCAAUAUGGCAACUUUGUAUGGUUUCACGAGUAAGCUGAUGAGCUGCAAGCUGUUCCUCAGUUGGCAGUGACCUUGGCUCUUCCAUAUCAAAGGAUAAGAGCUGACUGAACCGGCCCAUUAAACCAGACGACUUCCGAGGAGUGGUCCCAGAAGGUGUGCGUGAUAUUAAGGAAGAGCUUGAAGCAGGCUUUGCUCUCUCCAGAUCAGAAGAGAGUUCCAUAUCAUCAACUGUAUCAUUAAUGAGCCGAGCAGGUAGAAGGCCAAGUUUGUGGAAGCUCAAAACACAAUCCAGUAUGUUAUUCCAGCCAGAGCGAAUAUAAUCACCAUAACUGUUUACAAUGGUGAAAACAGUUGUGGUUGCCAUCCUUGCUUUAGUGUCCUCUCCAAAGGCUAAAAUAGCAUCAUCAACAGAGAAUGGUGUCAAGUGGGCUGUGAAUUUGCAGAGAGACACAAUCAAAUCAUCCAAAAUAUCAUCAAAAUGAUAAGAGGAAGAAACUUUGGCAAUCGCCAAGAAUCCAUCAACACAUGUUUUUAAAACCUCUUCAUGUUCUGUCUGAUCAAAAACCACCGACAUAGCAGCAAUUGUGGGACCUGACAGGAUAGCAAACAUGUCAUGGUCAAGGAGCACUCUAGAAUCACAGAUGAUGAAAGGAUCAGUAAUUUUGGAUUUGUGCAGUACAUUAAUCCAGCAGCCAGAUGUCAUCAAUGGAAAACCAGCACCUUGCUCAGGAAUCAUCUGGAUUUCAUUCUCGCAAAUUGAGCGGUAAAGUUCUGACAGGUAUUCUCGAGGAAAAUCAUUCCCUCCAUUAGUACGCCGGUUGUUGCGGAUGAAAUCUUCUUCAGUCAUCUUUUUCUUAACUUGUACAUUGUGUUGAUCUGUAUUUAGCAGUAUAAGUGAAUAUGAUAACAAGAGAGCAGCAUCUUUGUUAGCCAAUAUCUGGGGUGACUCUUCAUAAUAUCUCUCAGCAAACGCUUCAAGAACCCUCUGUAUUUUCUGUGAUUCUCCAGGCAACCUGAAAGUUCCCAAGAAAAGUCGCAAUGCAGUAUCCAGAUUCAUGCCUCGAAAAUCAAAAGUUCCAGCAAAUUCUUGAAGCACCUGAACACAAAAUUCAUCAUGAUUUCCCAGAAAGUCUCCAAUGAGAUUCUU
rnacentral:misc_RNA from 1 species